rnacentral:piRNA from 1 species
AUGGCCUAUCCAAGGACAUGGACACCGGG